rnacentral:snRNA from 1 species
UACCCGCUGAGUUUAAGC